rnacentral:rRNA from 1 species
CAAUAGCGUAUAUUAAAGUUGUUGCGGUUAAAAAGCUCGUAGUUGGAUUUCUGCCGAGGACGACCGGUCCGCCCUUUGGGUGUGUAUCUGGCUCUUUCUUGGCAUCUUCUUGGUGAACGUUGCUGCACUUGACUGUGUGGAGCGCUACCCAGGACUUUUACUUUGAGGAGAUUAGAGUGUUUCAAGCAGGCAUACGCCUUGAAUACAUUAGCAUGGGAUAAUAAGAUAGGACCUCGGUUCUAUUUUGUUGGUUUCUAGAGCUGAGGUAAUGAUUAAUAGGGAUAGUUGGGGGCAUUCGUAUUUAACUGUCAGAGGUGAAAUUCUUGGAUUUGUUAAAGACGGACUACUGCGAAANCANNNGCCAAGGGUGUUUUCAUNGA